GGGGCUGUAGUUCAACGGUAGAACAGGGCUUUUGCACGGCUCUGAUCGGGGUUCGAUUCCUCGUAGCUCCAC
rnacentral:tRNA from 4 species